UACGUAGGGUGCGAGCGUUGUCCGGAAUUAUUGGGCGUAAAGAGCUCGUAGGCGGUUUGUUGCGUCGGCUGUGAAAUCCCGAGGCUCAACCUCGGGUCUGCAGUCGAUACGAGCAAACUAGAGUGUUGCAGGGGAGACUGGAAUUCCUGGUGUAGCGGUGAAAUGCGCAGAUAUCAGGAGGAACACCGAUGGCGAAGGCAGGUCUCUGGGCCACUACUGACGCUGAGAAGCGAAAGCAUGGGGAGCGAACAGG
rnacentral:rRNA from 1 species